rnacentral:lncRNA from 1 species
GUUGGCUCCUGGCUGGACAGGGAAAAGUGCAAGCAAUUUGUGGAGCAGCACACGCCCCAGCUGCUGACCCUGGUGCCCAGGGGCUGGGAUGCCCACACCACCUGCCAGGCCCUCGGGGUGUGUGGGACCAUGUCCAGCCCUCUCCAGUGUAUCCACAGCCCCGACCUUUGAUGAGAACUCAGCUGUCCAGGCAGGACAUACACACAGUCCCUCUCUGGCCCUCAUCCUCCUCAGCUGCAAAGGAAAAGCCAAGUGAGACGGGCUCUGGGACCAUGGUGACCAGGCUCUUCCCCUGCUCCCUGGCCCUCGCCAGCUGCCAGGCUGAAAAGAAGCCUCAGCUCCCACACCGCCCUCCUCACCGCCCUUCCUCGGCAGUCACUUCCACUGGUGGACCACGGGCCCCCAGCCCUGUGUCGGCCUUGUCUGUCUCAGCUCAACCACAGUCUGACACCAGAGCCCACUUCCAUCCUCUCUGGUGUGAGGCACAGCGAGGGCAGCAUCUGGAGGAGCUCUGCAGCCUCCACACCUACCACGACCUCCCAGGGCUGGGCUCAGGAAAAACCAGCCACUGCUUUACAGGACAGGGGGUUGAAGCUGAGCCCCGCCUCACACCCACCCCCAUGCACUCAAAGAUUGGAUUUUACAGCUACUUGCAAUUCAAAAUUCAGAAGAAUAAAAAAUGGGAACAUACAGAACU